GUAAGCCUCACGAAGUCAGGGUAUGGAGUGGGGGCGAGGUGGGAGGUAUGAGGCAGGGCCCCCUCACCCCCAGCUUUCAGGUGAUUCUCCUCUCCUCUCAGGAGACCCCAGGGCUGCCUGCCCAGAGCCACACAUGCAUGGCCUCUGCCCAUCAUGGCCUGUCAUCCCUCCCUGCCCAGCCUUUAAUAUGCUCAGUCUCUUCAGUUGUGUCCAACUGAAUGGACUGUACCCUGCCAGGCUCCUCUGUCCAUAGGAUUCUCCAGAUCUCCAGCAGCUCAUGGAGUCCGGAAUGAAAUCAGUCCUCCAAGUAAUAACCAAGUGGAAGUGGACUCAAAAUGCUGAGUGUUUGUGUGUCUUCGGGGGACUGUUUCUCUGUUUUCCAAAGCAGGUCUCCUGCCCGGCAGCAAAGUUCCUUUUUAUUGGAGCUUCCCAGGUAGCACUAUUGGUAAAGAACCUGCCUGCCAACACAGAAGAUGUAGGAGAUGUGGGUUCAACCCCCGGAUUGGGAAGAUGCCCUGGAGAAGGACAUGGCAACCCACUCCAAUAUUCUUGCCUGGAGAGAGGACUCUGGCUGGCUACGGUCCAUGGGAUCGCAGAGUGGGACACGACUGAAACGAUAUUGAUCUGUUGGUAUUCUGUAUAUAUUCUGGAC
ensembl:lncRNA